UACGUAGGGUCCGAGCGUUGUCCGGAUUUACUGGGCGUAAAAGGUUCGUAGGUGGCUCGUCCAGUCGAGCGUGAAAUCUCCCGGCUUAACUGGGAGAGGUCGUUCGAUACUAGCGGGCUCGAGGUCGGUAGAGGGAAGCGGAAUUCCGGGUGUAGUGGUGGAAUACGUAGAUAUCCGGAGGAACACCAGUGGCGAAGGCGGCUUCCUGGACCGAUUCUGACACUGAGGAACGAAAGCGUGGGGAGCGAUCCGG
rnacentral:rRNA from 1 species